AGAAUCAACGCUGGCGGCGUGCCUAACACAUGCAAGUCGAACGCGGUUACUACUGCUUCGCAAGAAGUAGUAGUGACUGAGUGGCGAACGGGUGAGUAACACGUGGGUGACCUGCCUUCGAGUGGGGGAUAACGUUCCGAAAGGGACGCUAAUACCGCAUGACAUCCUGCCUUUGAAGAGGUGGAUAUUAAAGCUGGGGAUCGUAAGACCUGGCGCUUGAAGAGGGGCCCGCGUCCGAUUAGCUAGUUGGUGGGGUAACGCCUACCAAGGCGACGAUCGGUA
rnacentral:rRNA from 1 species